GACGAACGCUGGCGGCGUGCUUAACACAUGCAAGUCGAACGGAAAGGCCCUGCUUGCAGGGUACUCGAGUGGCGAACGGGUGAGUAACACGUGGGUGAUCUGCCCUGCACUUCGGGAUAAGCCUGGGAAACUGGGUCUAAUACCGGAUAGGAGCCAUUUUUAGUGUGAUGUUGGAAAGUUUUUUCGGUGUAGGAUGAGCUCGCGGCCUAUCAGCUUGUUGGUGGGGUAAUGGCCUACCAAGGCGGCGACGGGUAGCCGGCCUGAGAGGGUGGACGGCCACAUUGGGACUGAGAUACGGCCCAGACUCCUACGGGAGGCAGCGGUGGGGAAUAUUGCACAAUGGGCGCAAGCCUGAUGCAGCGACGCCGCGUGGGGGAUGACGGCCUUCGGGUUGUAAACUCCUUUCGCUAGGGACGAAGCUUUUUGUGACGGUACCUAGAUAAGAAGCACCGGCUAACUACGUG
rnacentral:rRNA from 1 species